rnacentral:rRNA from 1 species
AGUCAAUAGAUACCCUGGUAGUCCACACCGUAAACGAUGAGUACUAGGUGUAGGAGGUAUCGACUCCUUCUGUGCCGCAGUUAACACAAUAAGUACUCCGCCUGGGAAGUACGGUCGCAAGAUUAAAACUCAAAGGAAUUGACGGGGGCCCGCACAAGCAGCGGAGCAUGUGGUUUAAUUCGAAGCAACGCGAAGAACCUUACCUAGACUUGACAUCUCCUGAAUAGUGUAGAGAUACAUGAAGCCCUUCGGGGCAGGAAGACAGGUGGUGCAUGGUGUCGUCAGCUCGUGUCGUGAGAU